rnacentral:rRNA from 1 species
GCUGAAUGUGGGGAUAAUUUAUCUCCGUGUUGAAGCUAACGCGUUAAGCACUCCGCCUGGGGACUACGGUCGCAAGACUAAAACUCAAAGGAAUUGACGGGGACCCGCACAAGCGGUGGAGCAUGUGGUUUAAUUCGAUGCAACGCGAAAAACCUUACCACUCCUUGACAUGGAGAUUAGAUCCUUCUUAACGGAAGGGCGCAGUUCGGCUGGAUCUCGCACAGGUGCUGCAUGGCUGUCGUCAGCUCGUGUCGUGAGAUGUUGGGUUAAGUCCCGCAACGAGCGUAACCCUCAUCCUUAGUUGCCAGCGGGUAAUGCCGGGCACUUUAAGGAAACUGCCGGUGGUAAACUGGAGGAAAGUGGGGAUGAUGUCAAGUCAGCACGGCCCUUAUGGGGUGGGCUACACACGUGCUACAAUGGUGACUACAAUAGGUUGCAAUGUCGCAAGGCUGAGCUAAUCCGUAAAAGUCAUCUCAGUUCGGAUUGUCCUCUGCAACUCGAGGGCAUGAAGUCGGAAUCGCUAGUAAUCGUGGAUCAGCAUGCCACGGUGAAUACGUUCUCGGGUCUUGUACACACUGCCCGUCACGCCAUGGGAAUUGGCUUAACUCGAAGCUGGUGCGCUAACCGAAAGGAAAGCAGGCCAU